rnacentral:lncRNA from 1 species
UGUAAGUUACGUGUAGAUGGGACCCACUCCCUUAUAAACUCCAAACAAAGUGGCAAGCAAACCUUUGACAUCACACUCGUUUGUUGUCAACACUUGAAAUAGCGCGACUGGGACCACUCGCUUUCAUCUUUUAGAUUGGUGUUCCUCACGGGCAUCUGAUGCGUGUGGUCUUUUGAAGUAACAAUCUGAUGUGUGACAAGAAUCGUCCAAACCUUACAAAAUUCAAGGAAGAUAUAGCAAUUAAUUUAAUUCCAAU